rnacentral:rRNA from 1 species
CGAGGAUAGCCAGAGGAAACUCUGAAUAAUACUCGAUGAUGUCCGCAAGGACCAAAGGUUUACUGCCUCGGGAGCGGGGAAUGUCCUAUCAGGUAGUUGGUGGGGUAAUGGCUCACCAAGCCUUAGACGGGUAGCGGGUGUGAGAGCAUGACCCGCCGCAUCGGGACUGAGACACUGCCCGGACUCCUACGGGAGGCUGCAGUAACGAAUCUUCCGCAAUGCGCGAAAGCGUGACGGGGCAAUGCCGCGUGCAGGAUGAAGCCCUUCGGGGUGUAAACUGCUGUCAGGGUUCAGGAAAAAAAUGACCAGACCCAAAGGAAGAGGCGGCUAACUCUGUGCCAGCAGCCGCGGUAAUACAGAGGCCUCGAGCGUUAAUCGGGAUCACUGGGCUUAAAGCGUGCGUAGGCGGACGUGCAAGCAUGUUGUGAAGUCCCAUGGCUCAACCAUGGAACUGCUUCGUGAACUGCACGUCUUGAGACAAGUAGGGGCGGUCGGAACGAUAGGUGGAGCGGUGAAAUGCGUAGAUAUCUAUCGGAACGCCGAAGGAGAAGUCAGGCCGCUGGGCUUGUUCUGACGCUGAGGUACGAAAGCGUGGGGAGCAAACGGGAUUAGAUACCCCGGUAGUCCACGCUGUAAACGAUGCGCACUAGAUCGAGGAGGUUUGACACCCCCUUGGUCGAAGCAAAAGUGUUUAGUGCGCCGCCUGGGGAGUACGGUCGCAAGGCUAAAACUCAAAGGAAUUGACGGGGGCUCACACAAGCGGUGGAGCAUGUGGCUUAAUUCGAAGCAACGCGAAGAACCUUAUCCUAGGCUUGACAUGCACGGAUUAGCUCUCUGAAAGGAGAGUGAACGCCCUUUGGGUGGAACGUGCACAGGUGCUGCAUGGCUGUCGUCAGCUCGUGCUGUGAAGUGUCGGGUUAAGUCCCUCAACGAGCGAAACCCCUGUCGUUAGUUGCUAACGGGUAAUGCCGAGGACUCUAGCGAGACUGCCGGUGUCAAACCGGAGGAAGGUGGGGAUGACGUCAAGUCCUCAUGGCCCUUAUGCCUAGGGCUGCACACGUGCUACAAUGGUGCAAACAGAACGACGCAAGACCGCAAGGUGGAGCAAAUCGCUUAAAUUGCACCCCAGUUCGGAUUGUGGGCUGAAACCCGCCCACAUGAAGUCGGAAUCGCUAGUAAUCGCGGAUCAGCUACGCCGCGGUGAAUAUGUUCCUGAGCCUUGUACACACCGCCCGUCAAGUCAUGGGAGCUGGCAGCGCCCGAAGUCGCCUCAACUCAGAGGUGCCCACGGCGAGGCUGGUGACUGGGACUAAGUCGUAACAAGGUA